rnacentral:rRNA from 1 species
CUUUCUUUGCUGGCGACCGGCGCACGGGUGAGUAACACGUAUCCAACCUGCCCUUUACUCGGGGAUAGCCUUUCGAAAGAAAGAUUAAUACCCGAUGGCAUAACGAUUCCGCAUGGUUUCAUUAUUAAAGGAUUCCGGUAAAGGAUGGGGAUGCGUUCCAUUAGGUUGUUGGUGAGGUAACGGCCCACCAAGCCUUCGAUGGAUAGGGGUUCUGAGAGGAAGGUCCCCCACAUUGGAACUGAGACACGGUCCAA